rnacentral:rRNA from 1 species
GACCUCGGAUCAGGUAGGGAUACCCGCUGAACUUAAGCAUAUCAAUAAGCGGAGGAAAAGAAACCAACAGGGAUUGCCCCAGUAACGGCGAGUGAAGCGGCAAGAGCUCAAAUUUGAAAGCUGGCUCCUUCGGGGUCCGCAUUGUAAUUUGCAGAGGAUGCUUCGGGAGCGGUCCCCAUCUAAGUGCCCUGGAACGGGACGUCAUAGAGGGUGAGAAUCCCGUAUGGGAUGGGGUGUCCGCGCCCGUGUGAAGCUCCUUCGACGAGUCGAGUUGUUUGGGAAUGCAGCUCUAAAUGGGUGGUAAAUUUCAUCUAAAGCUAAAUAUUGGCCGGAGACCGAUAGCGCACAAGUAGAGUGAUCGAAAGAUGAAAAGCACUUUGAAAAGAGAGUUAAAAAGCACGUGAAAUUGUUGAAAGAGAAGCGCUUGCGACCAGACUCGCUCGCGGGGUUCAGCCGGCAUUCGUGCCGGUGUACUUCCCCGCGAGCGGGCCAGCGUCGGUUUGGGCGGUCGGUCAAAGGCCCCUGGAAGGUAACGCCCCCUCGGGGGCGUCUUAUAGCCAGGGGUGCAAUGCGGCCUGCCCGGACCGAGGAACGCGCUUCGGCUCGGACGCUGGCAUAAUGGUCGUAAGCGACCCGUCUUGAAACCACGGACC